GAUCCUGGCUCAGAUUGAACGCUGGCGGCAGGCCUAACACAUGCAAGUCGAACGGUAACAGGAAGAAGCUUGCUUCUUUGCUGACGAGUGGCGGACGGGUGAGUAAUGUCUGGGAAACUGCCUGAUGGAGGGGGGAUAACUACUGGAAACGGUAGCUAAUACCGCAUAACGUCGCAAGACCAAAGAGGGGGGACCUUCGGUCCGUCUUGUCCACUCGGAUGUGCCCACGAUGGGAGUUAGCUAGUAGGUGGGGUAACGGG
rnacentral:rRNA from 1 species